ACUUUCAAAGGAUAGCAGACUUCCAUUAAUUUUAGGCAUUAACACCCCUUGGUGCAACUCCAAGUGAAAGUA
rnacentral:tRNA from 1 species